UACGUAGGUGGCGAGCGUUGUCCGGAUUUACUGGGCGUAAAGGGAGCGUAGGCGGACUUUUAAGUGAGAUGUGAAAUACCCGGGCUCAACUUGGGUGCUGCAUUUCAAACUGGAAGUCUAGAGUGCAGGAGAGGAGAAUGGAAUUCCUAGUGUAGCGGUGAAAUGCGUAGAGAUUAGGAAGAACACCAGUGGCGAAGGCGAUUCUCUGGACUGUAACUGACGCUGAGGCUCGAAAGCGUGGGGAGGCAAACAGGAUUAGAUAUCCU
rnacentral:rRNA from 1 species